AGGAACACGGUGUUCUAGAAUGUCUGCCUGGGUCUGUCAGCCAAUUUCCUACUUAGAGGUACUCGGGAGCUGGGGAAAAAUUACCCCCCUUCCUUUACACUUCCAGGUAGUGGGUGACAGGUGUUUAUGACUCGGCUAGACCUUAAGUGCUUUUUGCCAGGGUCACCCCCAUGAAUUCACAGUUCACCCGAGGGGGACAGGAUAAGGUCCCAGCAGGGAAAUCGGCUGAGUUGUGCUUUGCCCCUUGAAAAUCAGACGUCACUACGUGUUCUUCGGAAUUCGCUGUGGGAUCACAAAGCCUCCCAAGACGACACAGGCUGCCCUGCGGAUCCUGCCGCAUCCUGGGUGGCGGAUUCAACCCAGAGCUCCCUUUCCGUGGGCUUUUACUGAGGCACAGGAAAUGCUGUGGGAGGGGCGUUCCCCAUGGGUGCCCCCUCCCCACAGCUCGCACGCCCAGGGAGAGCGCUUGGCCCACUCAGUGUAUGAUAUUUGUGCUAUUGACACCGUCUCCCAAUGGACAGAUGGUGAGCUGGUCUCUGAGGCAGGGCCGGCCUCGGGCAUCGCUUCGUGGAGUUCCCUUCUAGGGAAUCUUCACCUUGCUGUAUCCACCUGCUCCGGACUUGAGUCAUGGCCCCACCCGAGUCCUGAUCAAGCGUCUCUCAUUCCAAAGACCCGCCUUAAAUCAGCUUCCAAUCCUCAAGAAAAAGAUCCACGUGUUGCCGAGCUCAGUUAUGAGUAAGGAGAAGAGAACAUGAGGACAACGCAGGAGGCCGUCCGCAAACUCUCCAGCCACAGUUCGAGUUUCUACUCCGUUAAGCCCUCUGUCUAGCUGAGCGUCUACUUCUGCAUGGGGUCCAGGUGACACGCUUAUGUCCCCUCUUCAUGCCUCUGCCACCUCUGAGGGAUGUUUACACCCCAUCGGGCUGCUCACACCACCUUCCCCGUCCCAUGCAUGGUGCAGACUAUGAACCCCUCAACACGCUCAAGAGGGCAAAAACUGGUAAUCGCUGUGUAGACGGCGCACGCCGAGGCUCUCCCGGGAACAGGCUGUGGCAGCUGGAAAGCCCUCCCACCGUGAGCAGGACGGGGGGUUAAGGCGUGGCCCUGUGACUCACAGAGACGCCGAGUGGCUGCCCAGAGGACACCAAAACAGGAGAUGUGGAGAGCCAGUGCAGAGCCGCAAGCUGAGCUGGCCUGUGAUGCAGGCGCCAGGGAGCCGGGCCCAAAUUCCCACACGCUCCCACCCGGGGCAUCCUUCCCAGAGGGAUGAGCCCGAGGAUGACCCCACUGGCAGACACAGCAGGGGUGACACAGCAGGGGUGACACAGCAGGGGUGGCGGAGGCCCCAGCCAGGUGGACCUGGACCCAAGACCAUAGACACAAGCCUCCAUAAUCACGUGGUUCACGUCUCCCUUCUCCCCAAAGACCCUAAGUCCUCAAAGAGCAGGGGUGGCGCCUGUCCUUUGCACUGCCACACCCCUCGUGCCUGGCACAGAGUAGGUCCCACUACAUUUGUUGUCUGAUAGCCUCCCAACUCAGGCCUCACCUGGAGCCACAGUGCAGGAACAUUUACUGGGUAUCAGCCACCUGCUUACAACCGAAUGAGCUAUUUCCCCACGUGGUGUCUCAGGUCAUCGUAACAACCUCGGCAGUUAGGUAUUACUAUUUUUCCUUUUUUGGGGCCGCACCCAUGGCUUAUGGCAGUUCCCAGGCUAGGGAUCGAAUCUGAGCUGCAGCUGAAAUUCUACACCACAGCCACAGCAACUCCAGAUCCCAGCCACGUCGGCGACUUAUGCUACGAGGCCAGAUCCUGAACCCACUACUGAGCAAGGCCAGGGAUCAAACCCAUAUCCUCAUGGAUACUAGUCAGGUUCUUAACCACUGGGCCACAAGGAGAACUUUGACAGUUAGGUAUUAUUAUCCUCACUGGGACAGAACAGAGCCCAGCGUCCCUCCCAGACACUGUGUUCCAGUCUCCGGAACGCAGGAGCAGAGGCAGACCCUAGAGAGAGUCCCACCUCCUCCGUGUGCAAAGUCAGCCCCUUGCCUGAUCCUUACACAAGCCCUGGGAGCUAUCAUCCCAUCAGUCCGCCCAUUGUACAGAAUAGGAAACAGGGGCUUGGAGGGGUUAACACCUCGCUUCAGCCCCUCAGCUACAGGCAGCGGAGCAGGGCUUGAACCCAGAUCAUUCGGACUCCUAAGCCCCAGCUCCUUCCACUAACAUGGACUCAACACUGGACUUUUGUUGUGGACUAAAUUGUAUUUCCCAGGAGUUCCCGUCGUGGCUCAGUGGUUAAUGAAUCCGACUAGGAACCAUGAAGUUGCGGGUUCGAUCCCUGGUCUCGCUCAGUGGGCUAAGGAUCUGGCAUUGCCGUGAACUGUGGUGUAGGCUGCAGACACAGCUCAGAUCCCGUGUUGCUGUGGCUCUGGCUGCAGGCUGGCAUCUACAGCUCCGAUUGGACCCCUAGCCUGGGAACCUCCAUAUGCUACGGGAGUGGCCCAAAAAAUAGCAAAAAGACAAAAAAAAAAAGAAAAAAAA
ensembl:lncRNA